rnacentral:rRNA from 1 species
CACGUAGGGGGCGAGCGUUGUUCGGAAUUACUGGGCGUAAAGGGCAUGUAGGCGGCCUUGUAAGCCUGGCGUGAAAGUCACCGGCUCAACCGGUGGAUUGCGUCGGGAACUGCAGGGCUUGAGUCACGGAGGGGAAGGUAGAAUUCCUGGUGUAGGGGUGAAAUCUGUAGAGAUCAGGAAGAAUACCAGUGGCGAAGGCGACCUUCUGGCCGAUGACUGACGCUGAGGUGCGAAAGUGUGGGGAUCAAAC